GCUUAGCGUACAGGCUAUACUUAGCGGUAGAUCACCAUGUUUUAAUGGUUACCACCCAAUGAGAAUCAAACUUUCUUUAGGAAAAAAAGUAGAAAGUACAAAUGCAAAACACAGUUAAAAAGAGCUAUUCAAAUCAAGGUUUCCUGCUUGCAUGAUUAAAAUAGGUGAUUUUUAAUUGCUUUGAUCUGAAUCAAUCUACCCUGAUUAGUAGCCCCAACGUGUCGAGCUGGGAGGUAAAUUUAGCAAGAAUAUAAUUAAGGCCUUGAGCCAGCUUCUUGUAUUGCAUUGGCAAACAGGGCUUUCAUGGAACCCUGUUGGCUUGAACAGGGCUGCAUGUGGGUGUCAGGAUCUUUCCACGUGAAGCACGUUGCAGGAUCAGGGCCUAAAAGAAUUUUACAUGCAGCUUUUCUCUGCAACCACGACCGCUAGAAACUUAAAGGACAACUGCGGAUUCUCCCAUAAUCCCUUGACUUCAGGAACUGGGACUUUAAGUAAAACUCCAAAUAUUGUGAUCAAUAAAAUCACGAGCCUUGGCAACGCUGCCAGAUGUGGAAAAUCAGGGGAUUGGCAAAAUAGGCGCAGCCAUCACUAGCUCACUAAAAACGCUGGCAAAAUCUAAGAAUCAGAAAUCCAUCUUGAAAACUCUUGAGCUACUCUCAACCAAAAUGUGAGGAUGUGGGGCGUGUGACGAACAAUGCCUGGAUGCAGAGGUUGGGGAGAAAUGAACUAGAGUUUUCGCAACACACACAUUGUUUACUCAGAUUCCAUUCGGCUAAUUCCUGUCUGAAAGGUGAGCACGCUGUUAUGAGCUGGGUGAAAUCUUGCUAUGGGCUGAGUUAAACCCUUGUGAAUGCACCUUUCAUUUAAGAUUCCUCGAAUUAAAGAGACAGUUCAGGGAGCACACCUGACACCAGUUCUGGGAGUCUGCCCAGAAACCAGCAACAGUGGGCAGAGGGCUCCACUGGGUACAGUUCUGACCAGGUGUGUGUAUGGUGGUGAGGGGAGAGACAAGCCGGAGGGCAGACGAGAACCUGAGAAAGAGAAUGAGACCGACAGAGGGACAGCCUGAGCAAGCAGGAUGUCUGACCCUGGAAGAACCUAGAGAGGAGGUUUCUGGGUCCAGUGUUGUCUAAAGAGACUUGGGGCUGGAAGUAAAGAAGCUAUCAGCUGGUUUUGGCUCCUCCUGCCUUUGGAGUAGCAGGACUUUCUAUAUUCCUUGUAAAGAAACAAGAUUGCAUCAAAGGUACCAGGCUCCAUCUUUGGUUUCUACACCCAAGUGGAACAAGCCACAAAGCCCAGAACUUUGACUAGCCACUCAGGUGGAUUUAAAAAAAAAAAAAAGCAGGGAAGGGCAGGCAUAACAGUAUAAAGUACAGGAGCUCUAGUGGUACAAAGUAGUGUUACAUAUCACACAAUUCAGCUCUUGCAUACAAUGUCAGCUGAGGAAUGCUCUCUUGUAUGACUGAGGUUCAUGGUAACCACUGGGCCACCAGAAAGGGCUGCCCAUUCAUCGCUCUUCUAGUUUAGUAUAGUAGGCAGGUCACCCAGGCACCCGGAAACGUCUGUUGGUUCAUAAUCAGCACCCCAAAAAAAGUGCUGGUUUGAAAGAGUUGCAUCAAACCCACUGAACUCAUUGUUUCCUUGUGGUCCCCCCCACCCCCAGUUUGUCUCUUGCCUUGCACUUCGAUUGUAAGCUCUCGGAGCAGGGAUUGUCUCUCUGUUUGUACAGUGCCUAGCACAAAGGGGUCCAUGAUCUAGGCUCCUAGGUGCUACUGCCAGAUAACAUACAAUAAUAAAUAAUAGAGCUUGAUGGACUUUAAUGCUCUAUUUAAUUCUGUCAUUUUUCAGAGUAAAUUCUUUCUGCAAGCUUUUCUAAAUUAACACUCCAUACAAUUCCCUAUUAAAUUCUGUGGAAUGGUUUUAAAAAUACCUGUAGCUAGCAGAUUAUAGGUAGGGCCCUACCAAAUUCACGGUCCAUUUAGGUCAAUUUCACAGUCAUAGGAUUUUAAAAAUAGCAAAUUUCAUGAUUUUCGCUAUUUAUAUCUGAAAUUUCACAGUGUUGUAAUUGUAGGGGUCCUGAGCCAAAAAGGAGUGGUGUGUGUGUGUGUGGGGCGGGGGGGGCCUUGCAGGGUUAUUGUAGAGGGGGUUGCGGUACUGUUACCCUUACUUUUGCGCUGCUGCUUGCAGAGCUGGGCCCUCAGUCAGCAGCUGCCACUCUCCAGCCGCCCAGCUCUGAAGGCAGCGCAGAAGUAAAGGUGGCAAUACCAUGACCCCCCUGAAAUAACCGUGUGACCCUCCCUGCAACUCCCUUUUGGGUCAGGCCCCCUUAUAUGAGAAACUCUGGUCUCCCCCGUGAAAUCUGUAUAGUAUACGGUAAAAGCACACAAAAGACCAGAUUUCAUGGUCCAUGACAUGUUUCUCAUGGCUGUGAAUGUGGUAGGGCCCUAAUUAUAGGGAAGAAUCCCUUUAAAUAGUUUGGGAGGUCCCUAGUAGCCAGUUAUGGCCCUAUCCCUCAUCCUUUCUUGACUUCUCUAGGAGUCUUUCAUAUGCCCAGGUUUGAGGUGUCCCUGCAUGUGUUCUGAUUUUUAUGUCCUUGGAGGUUUUUCAGAGCAGGUUGGCCAAACACCUGUCAGGUACGGUCUAGGUUCUCUUGGUCCUGCCUCAGCAUGGGGGGAUGGACUAGCUGACCCCUUGAGGUCCUUUCCAGCCCUAUGUUUCUCUGAUAUUUUGUUUACAGCUGAACUGGAGUGCAAGGCUUGAGCAUGGAAUCCAAACUUGGGUCCACCGCUUACCAGUGUGUGAUCUCGUGAAGGGUUUCCAUUAGCACCCGUUACCAUAGUGUGUAAGCAGCAUCGCUACUAGCUGGCUCAGCAUCCAGUUCUCUUCAGAGAUUUUCCUCCUUGCUGGAUUCAUAACAGUUUUCUCUUUUCCUUGGCUCUCCAGAAUGUGUGGAGAUGUAGGGGCUAGCAGGGGAAUUGAGUGUAUAUGUGUGGGAGAGAAUGUUGAGGAAACUCCAGCAAAGUACUUAUGGCUAUAGGCCCUGACUAUUGGUAUUACCGUCCCCUAGUGGUCACUUAAUUCUAUACUAGUAAAUAGGAUUCUGCGUACUGGAUUAGGCAAUCCUUAGUCCAUAGUCUGCUGAGAGAAAGGAGCUGGCCCUGUUCUCCUGGGAGUUCCUGGCAUCCUGGGGUGGGAGAACAGGGUCUGAGGACUGCAGGAGCAAGAGACAGCGGAAUAGGUAAAAGGGGGACAAAAGGCAGAUGGAGGAGAGAGCAGGAGACAAGUGAGGCACAGCCAGGGAGAGAGCAGGAUCAGGAGAGGGAGUCCGAUGAAAAAGAGAUGAAACGUUUUACAGAAUGCCCCCCGUCCCCAAGGGUAGACAUGGGCCCUAAAUGCCCUAACCAAAAA